CCUACGGGUGGCAGCAGUGAGGAAUAUUGGUCAAUGGACGCAAGUCUGAACCAGCCAUGCCGCGUGCAGGAAGACGGCCCUAUGAUUUGUAAACUUCUUUUGUACAAGGGUAAACCUGAAUACGUGUAUUCUUCUGAAUGUACUUUACGAAUAAGGAUCGGCUAACGCCGUGCCAGCAGCCGCGGUAAUACGGAUGAUCCAAGCGUUAUCCGGAUUUAUUGGGUUUAAAGGGUGCGUAGACGGAUUGUUAAGUUAGAUGUGAAAUGUCCGGGCUGAACUCGGGAACUGCAUUUGAUACUGGCAGUAUAGAGAGUAGAUGAGGUAGGCGGAAUGCAUGGUGUAGCGGUGAAAUGCGUAGAGAUCAGGAAGAACACCGAUUGCGAAGGCAGCUUACUAAUCUAUAACUGACGUUGAGGCACGAAAGCGUGGGGAGCAAACAGGAUUAGAUACCCUUGUAGUC
rnacentral:rRNA from 1 species